UCAGUAUCAUCAUCACCAUAGGUGACAAACUCAAGGCCGGGGGGCAGAUACGGCCCGCCACAUCAUUUUAUGUGGCCCGCGAAGACAAAUUGUGCAUCAAAUUCGUGUCAUUACUAGAAUUGCAAAUUGUCUUCACUUUUAAA